UACGAAGGGGGCUAGCGUUGCUCGGAAUCACUGGGCGUAAAGCGCACGUAGGCGGAUUGUUAAGUCAGGGGUGAAAUCCUGGAGCUCAACUCCAGAACUGCCUUUGAUACUGGCGAUCUCGAGUCCGGGAGAGGUGAGUGGAACUGCGAGUGUAGAGGUGAAAAUUCGUAGAUAUUCGCAAGAACACCAGUGGCGAAGGCGGCUCACUGGCCCGGUACUGACGCUGAGGUGCGGAAAGCGUGGGGAGCAACAGGGAUUAAG
rnacentral:rRNA from 1 species